UUUUCCAUCCACCAGCGAUGAAAAAAUCAGGUUGGAGAUGAGGAGAAAUGGGAGAUAGGUGCAGCCUGGGAAGCCCCAGGGAGGAGGGUGCUCUCCACCCUUCAGCUGCCCACAGGUGUCGGGUGAAGCCAUGAGCUGAUUGAACACCAUGAAGGUCAGAUACACAAGAACAACCUUUUUACCAACAACCCUGAGCUGUGUGAAAAUUUAAAAUUUAAUCUGGGGGUGUAAAAAAACAUCCCCAAAAAACAUCCCCUGUGCUCAGGAGUCAGGGAGAGGUGAAGUUAAGGCUAACACUGUGACUUUUGUAGUUAACUGCUUCAACCUAGCAGAGCUCAGCCCAGCCGGGUCCCAUCACGACUCACUUCCCUACCAUCACACACAAAUAGGGGAGGAAAUUAAUUUUUUUUAAAAAAUAAAUAAAUAACAACAAAAAACUCACAUGAUUUCCAAGCUGCAGCCCAGGAAACAGCAGGAAAAAAAUCGAUAUGUGUCAAAUGAAAAAAGAUGAGAACAGAGGUGUUGCAAGGAGCCAAUAAAACCUGAAUGAAAACUGCAAACAGGCUUGACUGCCAAAAAAUCCACCUGCCUGAAAGUCCUGGGGGUCUCAGCCAUAAAUUUGGGCCAUUUCAGCAGUUUUGGUCACUUUCAGUCACCCAGCAUCCCAGCCUGGGCAGACGUUGCCAUUGCUCAACCCUCUCCAGUUCUGAGACAUUAUUGGCUGCUCAAUUGCAGUGGAAUGAAAAUGGAUGGUUAUUAUGGGACAUUAAAGUCUCAUGAGUGGCCAGUGAUUGAUGUCAAUGUGAAGAAAACCAAAAGAACUAACGAUGAUGAGCCACUUAAAAUGAAGUGGUGUGGGUUUCCUUAUCAAUGGCUCCUUGGUUUCUCACCUGGAACUCUUGGGUGGGAAGGAAGAGGAGGUUGGCACAGGUAAAGGAGCAAGGAUUCCAAAGAGAUGAUGCAAGGAGGAGCACACAGAUACUCUAUAAAGGUAAGAUUGGUGGGAAAUAGCAUUUCUUGGGGAAAUGGGUGGGAAAUAGAAGUUUGUUGGAAAAACAUUUGACUGUGGGCUUUAGAGCCUUUGGGAAUGCCAUUAGAAAAGCAAAUUUUAAUUGUUACCAUCUCCCCAGAGCCUGUUCUUGUCUUUCUUUCUCCCCUCAAUUUUCUUAUUUUCCAUGGAAUCUUUACCUCCUUCCUUUAGCUUUGCCUCCUCCAUCCCUUGCAGAACUCACAGAGGUCUCCACAGCCAAAUUCCAUCUCUCAGGCACUUUCUCUCCUCCUUCCUCUCCUUGGCUGGAACAGAUUUUGCCACAAUGUCAUCCCAUGUGGGCACAAUGACAUUAAAACAUCCCCAGGAGACAACUACAGGAGCUUUCUUUUUGUAGGGUUUUUAGGGACAUUGCAGCAGUUGCUUGAACUUCCGAGAACCAAGUAUCAAAACCCUUAUUUGCACCAAUCUAUACAUUUACUGGACUGAAAUAAACUUGCAUUUACUAUAACAAGUCACCAAACCCAAAGAAUUACCAACUUCCUCCCACUUGGGAGUGAUGUGAGCCAUAAGAGGAACCACAAGAGGUGUGAUGACAGGGACACCCUCUUCUCCAUCCACCUUCUCCAAGUGCUUCUGGACUGAGGUCAGCCUCGUCCCCAGUGGGAAAUAUUUUCUCUCCUCCCACCAACCAGGGCCUUUUAGAGGCAUUUCCACUUGCUGGGAUGGGAUUUUAUUUUUUUUUUCCUUUUGAACAGUGACUUCAUAUUCCAUUUUAUCAUUUUUUUAAUGUUGCAGGAUUUAUUCUGUUUGAAGUCUUACAUCCUCAUUUCCUGUCAGGAUGAUUAAAAUUGAUUUCCGCCAUCAGCUAGAAAAAGAUAAUCUGAAGUGGGUUCCUGUGAGAGAGAGCUCUAUCCCCACUGGAGACAUUACUAACCCUCUCCUAUUAUUUUAACUUUCUUUUUUGGGGGGGUGUCUCUUUGGAAAAGGACAGCUCAGUGCUUCUCAGCCGUGUGUGUCCCCCAGGACAGCAGCUCCCAUCCGCUGGAGAGCGCUGAAUUAUUUGUGCCCAAAUAAAUCCUCUGAAUUGGGUUUUCUGGGCCACGGGCACCCAACAGCAUCAGUAUCACUCCGCUUCUCCUAAUUUAAAGCAGAUUAUUGCUUUAAAUGGCUCUAUGAUACCCAUAUUACAGAUACCAAACAAACUGGAGCUGGAAUUGAUCAUCACCACAUCAUCUGUCAUCCCUUUGACGUGUCCUGUCCCCAGCACAAGGGUCUGGGUGCAAACACCACAUGGUGCAAAUCAAAAGUCUUGGAGAAACCCGAAUGUGUGACACCAGCAAACAUCCCUACACCAACAGCUAUCCUGGAAAAACCACCACAGCUGCAAUGCAACUCUGACACAACCAAUAAACGGGACCAAAUCCCAGCAGGUAAAAUCUGGAAGGAAAAGUUAUUUUAGGCCAGCAAUAAAUGAUUCUUAGCAAUAAAAUCAGACCUUUGCAUUCAGCUGGUGGGCUGGUGGAGCAGUUUGCAAGGCAAAUCCCCAGCAAGGCAUUCCUGAUGCUGGGAGGGGGCUGAGAUGCAGAAGGGAGAUGGGUUUAGGGUGAUGAGCUUUGCUGCAGAUGGGCUGAAGAAAUUUCUGGUGAAGGUUGUGCUUGGAAACAUCACACCAAUGGGAUUGGUUUUCCCAGUUUCCCUCAUCUGUGGGUUGACCAUUUGCCUUCAUUGUGCUCUGAGAAACCUGCAGCCCUGCUGUGAGACCAUGU